UUUUUAUUACAAUUAUUCGUAUGCACAGACAGCCACACCAAAUUAAGCCAGGUAUGGAGCUAUAUGUGUAAAUCUUUCUUUUAUUAUUUUUCCUCCCAAGACUAUACCUGGCAGCCCUGCACUUCAAUGAAAAUGCAGACCGUCCACAGGCAACAACCUCAGCUGGUGAGCCGCUGUUCAGGCUUCAUUUUCCAAAGUGGAAGAAAGGAGAAUGCAGAGCAAAGCCAGUGAAGGAGCAACCAACCUUCCAUUACGUGGAUGAAAUCUUGGACCUGGUGUUUGAGAAGGUUUUUCCGGACCCUGGUCCAUACACAGAUGAGGUGUUGAAGAUCUCCAUUCCUGAGGAUCUCACUGCACAGUUCGAAAGGCCGGACAAGAAGGAGGUGAUAGACCGCUACGUGACGAGGUUCAGUCAAGGGCCGGUCUGAACCCCACGUAGAUGCCUUGAGCGUCGGGGAACUCCGCCCGUAUACGCAGCACCACACAGCUGGGCAGUGCCACACGAACUCUUCGGCCCAGAAAGCCCCAACACCAGCUCACAAAGCCCCUAUAGGCCAAGUACCUGUAACGGCUGAACAGAGUACAGAUAUAUUUAGUUUUACAUUUAUAUUUAGACAUAAUUUAUGAUUAGCCACAUUUUUUUGUAAAUAUUUGUAAUACGUAUUUUUUGAACAGUUGUUUGCUGUACUUGUAUUUAUAAAAAUAAAAAUGUAUAAGCUGUUUUUUGUA